AUACGGAGGGUCCAAGCGUUAUCCGGAUUCAUUGGGUUUAAAGGGUCCGCAGGCGGGAAAAUAAGUCAGUGGUGAAAGCCUACAGCUCAACUGUAGAACUGCCAUUGAAACUGUUUUUCUUGAGUAUAGAUGAAGUGGGCGGAAUAUAUCAUGUAGCGGUGAAAUGCAUAGAUAUGAUAUAGAACACCGAUUGCGAAGGCAGCUCACUAAACUAUUACUGACGCUCAGGGACGAAAGCGUGGGGAGCGAACAGGAUUAGAAACCCCUGUAGUCC
rnacentral:rRNA from 1 species